rnacentral:rRNA from 1 species
GGUUAAGCGACCAAGCGUACACGGUGGAUGCCCUGGCAGUCAGAGGCGAUGAAGGACGUGCUAAUCUGCGAAAAGCGCCGGUAAGGUGAUAUGAACCGUUAUAACCGGCGAUGUCCGAAUGGGGAAACCCAGUGUGAUUCGUCACACUAUCAUUAACUGAAUCCAUAGGUUAAUGAGGCGAACCGGGGGAACUGAAACAUCUAAGUACCCCGAGGAAAAGAAAUCAACCGAGAUUCCCCCAGUAGCGGCGAGCGAACGGGGAGGAGCCCAGAGCCUGAAUCAGCAUGUGUGUUAGUGGAAGCGUCUGGAAAGGCGCGCGAUACAGGGUGAGAGCCCCGUACACAAAAGCGCACGUGCUGUGAGCUCGAUGAGUAGGGCGGGACACGUGGUAUCCUGUCUGAAUAUGGGGGGACCAUCCUCCAAGGCUAAAUACUCCUGACUGACCGAUAGUGAACCAGUACCGUGAGGGAAAGGCGAAAAGAACCCCGGCGAGGGGAGUGAAACAGAACCUGAAACCGUGUACGUACAAGCAGUGGGAGCCCCACCACUAAGCCAGUGGUGAACUCCACAUACGCAUCCUUUGCUGAGGAUGCGGU